AUUGAACGCUGGCGGCAGGCCUAACACAUGCAAGUCGAGCGGAUGAAGGGAGCUUGCUCCUGGAUUCAGCGGCGGACGGGUGAGUAAUGCCUAGGAAUCUGCCUGGUAGUGGGGGAUAACGCCCGGAAACGGGCGCUAAUACCGCAUACGUGCUGAGGGAGAAAGUGGGGGAUCUUCGGACCUCACGCUAUCAGAUGAGCCUAGGUCGGAUUAGCUAGUUGGUGGGGUAAAGGCCUACCAAGGCGACGAUCCGUAACUGGUCUGAGAGGAUGAUCAGUCACACUGGAACUGAGACACGGUCCAGACUCCUACGGGAGGCAGCAGUGGGGAAUAUUGGACAAUGGGCGAAAGCCUGAUCCAGCCAUGCCGCGUGUGUGAAGAGGGUCUUCGGAUUGUAAAGCACUUUAAGUUGGGAGGAAGGGCAGUAAGUUAAUACCUUGCUGUUUUGACGUUACCAACAGAAUAAGCACCGGCUAACUUCGUG
rnacentral:rRNA from 1 species